rnacentral:rRNA from 1 species
GACGAACACUGGCGGCGUGCCUAAUACAUGCAAGUAGAACGCUGAAGGAGGAGCUUGCUUCUCUGGAUGAGUUGCGAACGGGUGAGUAACGCGUAGGUAACCUGCCUGGUAGCGGGGGAUAACUAUUGGAAACGAUAGCUAAUACCGCAUAAGAGUAGAUGUUGCAUGACAUUUGCUUAAAAGGUGCAAUUGCAUCACUACCAGAUGGACCUGCGUUGUAUUAGCUAGUUGGUGGGGUAACGGCUCACCAAGGCGACGAUACAUAGCCGACCUGAGAGGGUGAUCGGCCACACUGGGACUGAGACACGGCCCAGACUCCUACGGGAGGCAGCAGUAGGGAAUCUUCGGCAAUGGACGGAAGUCUGACCGAGCAACGCCGCGUGAGUGAAGAAGGUUGUCGGAUCGGAAAGCUCUGUUGUAAGAGAAGAACGAGUGUGAGAGUGGAAAGUUCACACUGUGACGGUAUCUGACCAGAAAGGGACGGCUAACUACGUG